rnacentral:rRNA from 1 species
GUACGGGAGGCAGCAGUGGGGAAUUUUGGACAAUGGGCGCAAGCCUGAUCCAGCCAUGCCGCGUGAGUGAAGAAGGCCUUCGGGUUGUAAAGCUCUUUCAGACGGAAAGAAACGGUCACGGCUAAUAACUGUGGCUAAUGACGGUACCGUAAGAAGAAGCACCGGCUAACUACGUGCCAGCAGCCGCGGUAAUACGUAGGGUGCGAGCGUUAAUCGGAAUUACUGGGCGUAAAGCGUGCGCAGGCGGUUUCGUAAGACAGAUGUGAAAUCCCCGGGCUUAACCUGGGAACUGCAUUUGUGACUGCGAGACUAGAGUGUAGCAGAGGGGGGUAGAAUUCCACGUGUAGCAGUGAAAUGCGUAGAGAUGUGGAGGAAUACCGAUGGCGAAGGCAGCCCCCUGGGCUAACACUGACGCUCAUGCACGAAAGCGUGGGGAGCAAACAGGAUUAGAUACCCCGGUAGC